AGUUGCGGCCAGAGGACGCUAGAACUGCUUGUUAAUCUGCACAUUUAUUAGUUUUGACAGUAACAUUAAGAGCCGUAUGAAACAUUUUGUUCCGUUCUCCGGAGUUCCCUAGCCUACAGCAGGCUGUCACUGACAAGAUUAUUGUGUGCGAUCAUGGACGCUUUUUUUUUUUAUAAAGUGUAUCUGAUUAAAAAUGUUAGUUAAAAGUACCUACCUGGGUAUGCAAAAAUUAAGGGAAUGUUCCAGCUGUGUGUACACUAUUACUAUAACUUUUGUUCCAUUCAAACGUUGCAGUGAAGGAGAACUCGGGAGCUCCGAAGUGAGCGGAGCGACGACAGAGAGAGAGAACUAAUGGCGUUUGGCAGUGCAAUCGACGGGCUCCUAAUAAAACUACUCAGAGCACUUGUGAAGGAGUUCCUAAAGGAUCACACAAAGGAGCUCACCGACCCAUCUAGCUACCAGUAUUUAAAUGGACUAUAAUCUUUAUAAGCCUCAAAAUACUACCUACAUCAAAAUUUAUAUUCAAUAUUGAUCGCUCUUUAUAAUGGCCAAUCUUUUAUAUUAAAGUUUUAUGCAAAUAUCCAGUGACCGGGUGUAUUACACCGUCACCCAAGCUUUCGAAAGCGAUGAUCUACAGGCGAAGAGUACUCACGCUAUCACAGGACACACAUAGGGAAGUAAACUCUAAGACCUCGAAGAACAUUCAUCAAACACAAGACUCGAGGGUCGCCGACACAGACAACCUCCCAACAAAGAAAUAUGAACAAGUCAGGUUCAUACAGUUGAAAAACAGGGAUACAGAGUCGCCUCCAGGCGACACGUGCCCACCGGCC